GAAUUUUGUAUGAAUUUUUUUUAAAGUAAUGUUUGAAAGGUUGAAAGGUAUCGAUCGUACAGGAAGCGUUAAAGGUGAAAAAGAAGGGACUUAAUUAAAUGUCUGAGGAGAGAAGAACUAAAAGAAUUGAAGUAGUAAUACAUUAAUGUAUUUUGAUCAAUUCCUCGAAAGUGGAGCCUUUUAACAAAUUAAAUAAACUUUAUUAAGUUAUAUACGAAAUUUACUUAAGGAGAUAUUUUUGUCGUACAAACAAUAUUUUUAUCAGAAAAAUAAAACAAAUUGAAGAAGCACCAUGUCCGAAAAAUUCACAUAGCGAGUGUUUCCCCCUUUAUUUUCACAUGUAAAUUUCGUAAUUUUGUAUGCAUGUAAAAGAUGAUUUAGGUUGACACCAUGGAAAAAUAUUUUUUUUAUUUCGAUUUGGAUGUUGGUUUUCACAAAAUGCAUUUUUAGUCUAGUUUUUUAGUUAACUUUCAAGGUGGAAAAAUGGGAAAUUGAAUUUCCUCUCAACUCGGAAUUUAUCCUGCGUUAUUUUAACUUUUCCAUUCCAGGUGAUUCCUGGUAAAAAAUUGUUGAGAAUAUUGUUGAAAAGUUUAAGUGCGUGGAUUAUAUUCAUUGUAUUGCGUGCUGUGUGUUGGAAAAAUGGAUCUUCAUCACCAUCAACAAACAUUACCUAAUAACGCGAUAAUAAUUAAGACUUGUAUGGGUUCUGGUUAAAAAGGCAAAGUAAUAUUCGCAAUGAUGGAGUUGUAUGGUAUUUCUGCGCCAUCUAGAAUCAACGACGGCAGCCAAUCCAACCUAACAUCCAGUCUAGGAGCGGCUGACGAAGCAAGUAG